UCCUGGCCAGAAACGACAUCAAAACGGUUUCCCAGGACGGCCGCGUCGGGUGCUCUAGAAAAGGAAAGCUGGAAAAACGCCAGCAGCUAACGCCGCAGAAACGCUGCUGUCACAGUUUCUACCUAAGUCGAAGGAAAACAAGUCAAAAGGCUCGUUCAAGUGGCAGUUGCUGUUUUUUUUGGGCCAAGCCAUCGAAUCGGACCACUAUGAGCGACAGAGGAGCCCGGUAAUGAUGAUAGCAUGACGCGUGACGGCGAAAUUCCAGCCAUUUUCAAUCCGAAACGGGUGCGCACUCCUUCCGUGGUGGUCACCGGCGAUUCUUCAACGAAUGGCCCGUACAAUAAUAACAACACUGGCGGAGGAAGCGGAGCGGGAGCCAGUAGCAGCUCAGCAGUCGCUCCGGGAUCGUCUGCCCAAAAUGGCAGUGGCACCGGAGCGACUGGGAGCUGCGGCUUCAGCAACGUGCUCACCUCGAGCAACCCGCAAAUAACCCACCAAGACUCGAUCUCGUCGAGCCAACAGGACCCCAAUGAGGUGAUCAUCAUACCGGCGGACACCCCCACUAGCGCUCCUGGCAGUCAUAAUACAGGUCACCACUUCGGCGGCGGGGACUCGAGCGACACGCAGACGGAGCAGCAACAGGCAAAUGGACAUGCAGAGGAGCCGGAGCUGCGAUUCCGGAAGCUGCAGGCCUGCAAGGAGUCUUGCUGCUCUGAACUGGCCAGAAAGAUGUACUUUGGAGUGUGCGUGACCAUCCUGAUGACCGCCUCGUGGGUGGGAGCCACCCACUGCAUUAAGUACAUGUACAAGUACCGUGCUCCAUACGACGACUUGCUAAAUGAUGACCAGGACACGUCCUCAAGUCGUGCCGAUUUAAGCACAGAGCUGGAGGAUAUACUGGCCAUCAGUGACUCGUCGCUGCACCACGUCGAGGACGCCACCGAGAUGUUCAACAUACCACCGCGCCAGCCGGUAUACUUCAGCGCCCCGUUCUUUGCCGCCUGGUUCUUCACCAACUUCUCGCUGCUCUUUUUUCCCAUCUAUAUUCUGGGAUUGGUCUCCACGCGCAAAUGCGAAAAGCUGAGCGAUAUUCUCGGCGAUGUGCUGCGAGGUUUCCGGGAGCGCGGCUUCACAGUGGGGCGCUUUCUCAAUCGCUGCCUUUGCUUCUGCAUUUUGUGGCUCGUCACCACCUACUUGUAUACCCUCUCCCUGCACGUCCUCUACGCCACGGAUGCCCUGGCCCUCUUUGCCACCAAUGUGGCUUGCGUGUAUCUACUGUCUUGGGUGAUCCUGCAUGAGCAGUUCGUGGGCGUGAGAAUCGUAGCCAUUAUCCUAUGCGACACUGGAAUAGCGUUGCUCGCCUACAUGGAUGGAAUCACGGAAAGCCGAACCCUGAGCGGCGUGGUCCUGGCCACUUUAGCCGGAGCUGGAUAUGCCGUGUUUAGGGUUAUGUUCCGCAAGGUGAUGGGCGAUCCGCCGGUGAGCCAAAUCGCCUUCAUAUUCACCGCCCUCGGCUUUCUCAAUGCCCUGCUGCUGUGGCCCGUGGUGUUGGGUCUCUACCUGACUGGCACGGAAAGCCUCACAUCGGAGAGCAUACCCUGGAACUUGCUGUUUGCGGCGAGCCUCCUGCUUCUCGUUUUCCACGUUCUGAUGCAGUUCAGUGCCGCCGUUACGUACAACAUGUUUGUGACAUUGGGUCUGAUUACCGCUGUUCCCGUUUCUGGUGCACUUGAUGUCAUACUGUAUAGUGCCAACUUUGCGGGCAUGAAGCUGGCCGGAGUUAUUCUGAUUGGCAUCGGAUUUUUCCUCGUUAUGUUCCCCGCCAACUGGCCAGACUAUAUAACGCGAUUGUUGCGAAAGAGCGUUCGUGCCAUACUCCGCUACCAAUGUUGUUGUGAAUUAGCCGAAAUUCGCUAUGCUCAUUCGGUAGGCCAAAAACACAAGCUAAGCCAAAAACCCAAAACCAAAACAAAAAUCAAAAACAAAACCAAAACCAUACCCUUGAUUCAAGACACCAUUAGAUAUAAAUUAGAACUGUAGGCAUCCUAAGAAUUUGUGUUUAUUGAUAUCGAUUCUCCCUGAACUAAACUUUGACUUGAUUAAUGAUGGUUAAUGCUAAUGAUAAGUAACAGAAACUUGGCAGAUUUUUUACUGAAUACAACAACAAAAACUUCUAUGCUAUCUAAUAUAGGUAUAUUAAACACCCAUAUAUAUCCCACAUGCAACAACUACAACACUUUGGCUUCCAACUAUGCGCUCACCCUUGUUGAAAGAAAUAUCUAGACAUGUGUAUCUAACUGUUACUAUAUAUACUUGCCUUAAUGUACACCCAAUUAAUUAACAAUAUACCAAGAUAUACCUCUACACACAUUUUACGAACAUAUAUCUAUAUAUCGUUACCGUUAAAUAAAGCCGUUUUACCGACACUAACUACUUCGGCUGUUGUGCAAUUGGUUAACAAUCCCAUCUCGUUGUUGUUCUUAACGUUAUUUUGGCGCUGCCGUUACCAUAAAUGUAUUCUUAUACUUAUUGUUGUUGAUACUUUUGAUGAUUUCGUUUUGUUUCGGCAUAACAGCAACCUUAUAUAUUCCCAAUAUAUACCUCAGAUGCUGUGGCAUAACCAGUCUAAUGAUCUCAGUGCCAAUCUUUUGUUUUUACCCACUUGUGUAAGAUAUAUCCUCGUAUCUGAAUGUUGGUUGCUGGUGCCGUGGUUCUAUUACUUUAGUAGUUCCCACACCCGAACAAUAUACACCACCCACACACCCUGAAACACUCACACACCCACCUCAACGUACAUAUAUGUAGUUUGAGUUUCGCUGGUGUUGCGAAAGUUUCCAUUUUCAAGAUCCACGCAGAACUCCAAGAAUAUGGAUGCUGGUGAUUAUGAUGAUGUACUCGUAUAAUGAUGAUGAUUUGUUUGGCUGUUUGUUUUGUGACCUCUACUGAAUUGCAGCUUCUUGUAAUUGGGUUAAAACUGUUGACUUGGCCAUUAUCCCUUUUAUGUAAAUAUAUUUUUGGUUAUCUGUUUUUGUUUUCUUAAGCUGUCUGCACAUAGAGAGGAGAGCGCAAGUUACCAUAGAUGUCUUGCAGAUGUUAAAUCGCAGCAUGAACGAAUAUACAAAAGCUGAGGAUUCUAAAUCCCACAUCGACCCAAGUAAUAUCCAUUAUCAUUUUCCCUUUCAACUUUGUAAGGAUGCAACCGGCGAGUGAGAAACCAAAUAAUAACAAUACCCCGACCUUUAAAAAACGAUUAAGUCCUAAAUAAUGAUAUACAUUAAAAUGCAUUCAAAUUGUUAAUGAUUGGCAUGUUUGAACCGACCUUCGUUUUCUCUUCGUUUAUCGUUUCGAAUUGACGGUUUUUCGUUUUCCAAACUGAUCUACUUUUGAGUUAAACCUUUAUUUCUGUGCGAUCUGUCUGUCUAACUUUAAAUUCUUCAAGCUCUACUCUAUGCUAUAUACUCUACCUACUUCUUAUAUAUAUAAAAAACGUGUCGACAUUUCUCAAUUGUCUUUUUGCAGAAGCAUCAUAAUGCUGGGUCACAAUGCGAGCGGUAGGCCAGCGCUUUGUAAACGAGAUGCUAUAGUCACGGGACCGUCCACCAGAUAUGCGCAGCGGCACAUCACGCGCACGCACCAUAUAAGC